GACGAACGCUGGCGGCGUGCUUAACACAUGCAAGUCGAACGGAAAGGCCCUGCUUUUGUGGGGUGCUCGAGUGGCGAACGGGUGAGUAACACGUGAGUAACCUGCCCUUGACUUUGGGAUAACUUCAGGAAACUGGGGCUAAUACCGGAUAGGAGCUCCUGCUGCAUGGUGGGGGUUGGAAAGUUUCGGCGGUUGGGGAUGGACUCGCGGCUUAUCAGCUUGUUGGUGGGGUAGUGGCUUACCAAGGCUUUGACGGGUAGCCGGCCUGAGAGGGUGACCGGCCACAUUGGGACUGAGAUACGGCCCAGACUCCUACGGGAGGCAGCAGUGGGGAAUAUUGCACAAUGGGCGGAAGCCUGAUGCAGCAACGCCGCGUGCGGGAUGACGGCCUUCGGGUUGUAAACCGCCUUCGCCUGCGACGAAGCGUGAGUGACGGUAAUGGGUAAAGAAGCACCGGCUAACUACGUG
rnacentral:rRNA from 1 species